AUUGAACGCUGGCGGCAUGCCUUACACAUGCAAGUCGAACGGUAACGCGGGGCAACCUGGCGACGAGUGGCGAACGGGUGAGUAACGCAUCGGAACGUGCCCAGUAGUGGGGGAUAGCUCGGCGAAAGCCGGAUUAAUACCGCAUACGACCUACGGGUGAAAGGGGGGGAUCGCAAGACCUCUCGCUAUUGGAGCGGCCGAUGUCAGAUUAGGUUGUUGGUGGGGUAAAAGCCUACCAAGCCGACGAUCUGUAGCUGGUCUGAGAGGACGACCAGCCACACUGGGACUGAGACACGGCCCAGACUCCUACGGGAGGCAGCAGUGGGGAAUUUUGGACAAUGGGCGCAAGCCUGAUCCAGCCAUGCCGCGUGCGGGAUGAAGGCCUUCGGGUUGUAAACCGCUUUUGUCAGGGAGGAAACACUCUGGGUUAAUACCCCGGGGUAAUGACGGUACCUGAAGAAUAAGCACCGGCUAACUACGUGCCAGCCGCCGCAGUAAAAC
rnacentral:rRNA from 1 species